CAACCAAAUAAAAAUUCAAAAAAAAGAACAAAAAUUCCCAGUAUCUCAAAUUGGGACAAAGAUUUUGUUUCACUUUUGAAAGAGUCGAUUCCAAGAGUUGUAAGUCUACAACCCCCUCAUUUGGAGCUUACUCAAAGCCUUCAUGCCGUCCUUUCUUUCCAACCUUAUCCAAAAACCUUCCAAACAAAGACCUCAUGAUAUUCCUUCAAGAAUUCCAAGAGAAGCAUGCAAUGAGCAACUCCAAACAAAGACCUCAUGAUAGUUCUUGUUGAUUUAUUUUCUGUACUCUUAUGUUAUUGUUGUCGUUAUUCGUAUUCGUAGUUAUUGAGCCGUGGGUUAUAUAUGGUUGUGGUAUUGGUAUUGUGGUUUUGGCAAUGUUUUGGUAUAUGAGACCGUGUGGUGCGAGUUUUUGUGUUGUAUUGUUGUGUUUAGGCACAUGUGGGCCCGUUAAGAGUAUGUUAUGUUUGCGUUAUUCGUAUUCGUUGUUGUUGAGCAGUGGGCUAUAUAUAUGUAUGGUAUUGGUAUUGUGUUUUUGGAAAUGUUUUGGUAGAUGGGACCGUGGUGCGGGUUUUUAUGUUGUAUUAUUGUGUUUUGGCAUUUGUGGUCCCGUUGAGAGGAUUGUCGGGAUGUUAUUGUUGUCGUUAUUAGUAUUCGCAGUUGUUGAGCUGUGGGUUAUAUAUGGUUGUGGUAUUGGUAUUGCGGUUUGGGCAAUGUUUUGGUAUAUGAGACCGUGUGGUGCGAGUUUUUAUGUUGUAUUGUUUUGUUUGGCACAUGUGGGCCCGUUAAGAGUAUUGUCGGGAUGUUUACACGAGAUUUCUUCCGUGCUACUUUUAUUAUUGAUAUUGCACAUGUGGCGAAACAAGGCAGGCUAUAUACAUAUGUUGGGUUUGUGCAUGUGGCAAGACAAGGUGGGAUAAUUAUUAAUGCACGUGUGGCGAGAUAAGGCCGGCAUUUACUAUAUUUUUUCACAGGCGACGAGACAAAGGGGUGAUGGUCUGGGGGCAUAGUAUUGGUGAUAUCCAUUUGGUGGUACGACUUCCUUGUGUGUGUCAUGCAUAUUACAUAAUUUGUUAUGUUAUUUUCAAUGUGCUACUCGGUGUCUCUAUUUAUGACUUGUUGACUUGAGUAUGAUAGUACAAUUGCACAUGCAUACACCGUAACAUGCCAUUUAUACCAGUCCUGGAGUAUGAUACUUGAUGACCAUUGGCCAUUUACAUGCAUUCUUGUAUCCGAGGUGCGGGCCUUGGAUUGACAUUUUAGUUUUCAUUAAAGAUCGAAACUUUAUUAUGCGAAAUUAUUUUCUAUGGCUUUUAUUUAUGAUAUUAAGUUAUUUUGGCUAGAUUCGGACCGUUCAGAGGUUGUUUCAUACAAGAAGGACUUCUUAAAGUAUUGAUUUAGCUUCUUUGAGAUAAGUAUAUUGCCUAAUUUUGUGUGGAAAAAAUUACCCCGUAAGAUUUGAGUUAAUUUCACUAUUUGAAUUAUGUGAAAGUCGUGUACUUGAGAUGACAAGUGUGUACACAUGCAUAUAUAUUGAAAUUGACUUGUUUAAGCUUGUAGGUCACUCAUAUGAAAUUAAUUGAAGUUGUUAUUGCAUGGUAUAUCUAUUAUUGUUGAGGUUAAUUGUCCGUUUCAAUGUGUUAUUGCACUUCUUGUUGAUUUAUUUUCUGUACUCUUGUGUUAUUGUUGGUGUUAUUCAUAUUCGUUGUUGUUGAGCAGUGGGCUAUAUAUAGGUAUGGUAUUGGUAUUGUGGUUUUGGACAUGUUUUGGUAGAUGGGACCGUGGUGCGGGUUUUUAUGUUGUAUUGUUGUGUUUUGGCACUUGUGGUCCCGUUCAGAGCAUUGUCGAGAUGUUUGCACGUUAUUUCUUCCGUGCUAUUUUUAUUAUUGAUAUUGCACAUGUGGCGAGACAAGGCGGGCUAUAUACAUAUGUUGGGUUUGUGCAUGUUGCAAGACAUGGUGUGAUAAUUAUUAAUGCGCGUGUGGCGAGACAAGGCCGGCAUUUACUAUAUUAUUUCGCAGGCGACGAGACAAGGGGGGUGAUGGUCUGGGGGCAUAUUAUUGGUGAUAUCCAUUUGGUGGUGCGACUUCCUUGUGUGUGUCAUGCAUAUUACAUGAUUUGUUAUGCUAUUUUCAAUGUGCUACUCGGUGUCUCUAUUCUUGACUUGUUGACUUGAGCUAUGAUAAUACACUUGCAAAUGCAUACACUGUAACAUACCAUUUGUACCAGUCCAGGAGUAUGAUACUUCAUGACUAUUGGCCAUGUACAUGCAUUCUUGUCCGAGGUGCGGGCCCUGGAUUGACAUUUUAGUUCUCAUUAAAGAUCGAAACUUUAUUAUCCGAAACUAUUUUCCAUGGCUUUUAUUUAUGAUAUUAAGUUAUUGUGGCUAGAUUCGGACCGUUCGGAGGUUGUUUCACAUGGGAAGGGCUUCUUAGAGUAUUGGUUUAGCUUCAUUGAGAUAAGUAUCAUGCCUAACAUUGUGUGGACAAAACUAACCCAUAGGAUUUGAGUUAAUUUCACUAUUUGAAUUAUGUGAAAGGCGUGUACUUGAGGUGACAAGUGUGUACACAGGCUUAUAUAUAGAAAUUGACUUAUUUAGGCUUGUAGGUCACUCAUAUGAAAUUAAUUAAGGUUGUUGUUUCAUGUUAUAUCUUUCAUUGUUGAGGUUAAUUGUCCAUUUCAAUGUGUUAUUGCAGUUGUUGUGGAUUUAUUUUCUGUACUCUUGUGUUAUUGUUGUCGUUAUUCGUAUACGUUGUUGUUGAGCCGUCGGCUAUAUAUGGUUGUGGUAUUGGUAUUGUGAUUUCGGCAAUGUUUUGGUAUAUGGGACCGUGUGGUGCGAGCUUUUAUGUUGUAUUGUUGUGUUUUGGCAAAUGGGUGCCCGUUGAGAGGAUUGUCGGGAUGUUUGCACGGGAUUUCUUCUGUGCUACUUUUAUUAUUGAUAUUGCACAUGUGGCGAGACAAGACGGGCUUUAUACAUAUGUUGGGUUUGUGCAUGUGGCAAGACAAGUUGGGAUAAUUAUUAAUGUGCGUGUGGAGAGAGAAGACCAGCAUUUACUAUAUUAUUUCGCACGCGACGAGCCAAGGGAGUGAUGGUCUGGGGGCAUAUUAUUGGUGAUAUCCAUUUGAUGGUGCGACUUCCUUGUGUGUGUCAUGCAUAUUACAUGAUUUGUUAUGUUAUUUUCAAUGUGCUACUCGCUGUCUAUAUUUUUGACUUGUUGACUUGAGCUAUGAUAGUACACUUGCACAUGCAUACCCCGUAACAUGCCAUUUAUACCAGUCCAGGAGUAUGAUACUUGAUGACCAUUAGCGAUGUACAUGCAUUCUUGUAUCCGAGGUGCGGGCCCUAGGUUGACAUUUUAGUUUUCAUUAAAUAUCGAAACUUUAUUAUCCGAAAUUAUUUUCUAUGACUUUUAUUUAUGAUAUUAAGUUAUUUUGGCUAGAUUUGGACCGUUCGGAGGCUGUUUCACAUGGGAAGGGCUUCUUAAAGUAUUGAUUUAGCUUCUUUGAGGUAAGUAUGUUGCCUAACUUUGUGUGGGAAAAACUACCCCAUAGGAUUUGAGUUAAUUUCAGUAUUUAAAUUAUGUGAAAGACGUGUACUUGAGGUGACAAGUGUGUACACAGGCUUAUAUAUAGAAAUUAACCCGUUUAGGCUUGUAGGUCACUCUUAUGAAAUUAAUUGAAGUUGUUAUUGCAUGUUAUAUCUUUCAUUGUUGAGGUUAAGUGUCCAUUUCAAUGUGUCAUUGGAGUUCUUGUUGAUUUAUUUUCUGUACUAUUGUGUUAUGGUUGUCGUUAUUGUGACGACCCGGUCGGUCGUCUUAAGAGUUAUGGCCCCGAUCCCCUAUUAACUGUUUUCCCUGUAUCCUUUUCUGCUAUUGUGACUUGUUGGGAGGUUUCAUUUUGGUUUUUGGAGUGUUUUGGGACACUUAGUCCCUAAAUGGAGUCUUAAGUCUUAUGAUUUGGACCGUAGUCAGAACUGUGUGAAGACGACUCUGGAAUGGUGUUCCGUCAGUCUCGUUAGCUCCGCUAAGUGAUUUUUGACUUAGAGGCUUGUCCAGAUAGUGUUUUGGAGGUUUGUAGCUCAUUUAGGUUUGAAAUGGCGAAAGUCGAAGUUUUGGAGAUUUGGACCGGUAGUGGAAUUUUGAUACCGGGGUCGGAUUCAGAUUUUGGAAGUUGGAAUAGGUCUGUAGGGUUGAAUAUAACCCGUGUGCAAAAUUUGGGGUCAAUCGGACGUGGUUUGGUUGGUUUCGGCAUCNNNNNNNNNNNNNNNNNNNNNNNNNNNNNNNNNNNNNNNNNNNNNNNNNNNGGGGGCCUCGGGUUGAUUUCGGAUGGUUAACGGAUUAUUUUGGACUAGUGGAAAAUAGCAGAUUUUCUGGUGUUUUGUUGCAGACUUUUUCUUCAUCGAGUUCGCAAGAGAGGUCUCGCGAUCGUGUAAGGCAUCUGAGAGGCCAGCUGAAGUUGUUCUUCGCUUUCGCGAAUAUGAGGACGUGAUCGCGUAGGUUGGUCAGGUUGUGCAUCGCGAACGCGUGGGCUAGUCCGCAUUCGCGAAGAGGAAGUAAAGCAGCAGUGGAAUUCAAGUGUUGUUCUUCGCGAACGCGUGGGAUUGUUCACGAUCGCGUAAGUAUGAGAGCUAGAGAAUCGCAUUCGUGUUGAGUUUUCCGCGUUCAUGUAGGGUUAAAUUCUGGGGCAGCGAAGUUGUGCUUCGCGAUCGCGAGGCUAUUUCCGCGAUCGCGAUUAAGGAAUUACUGGGCAGUAUUAAACAUUUCAAAAAUGAGGGUUUGGCCAUUUUUAUCAAAACUUGAGUUUGGGAGAUCGGAUUUGGACGAGAGGUUGGGAUUUUUAGAGACAUCGAUUGGGUAAUGAUUCUACACUCUAUUUUGGUUAUAUUCCACUAAUCUAUCAUUAAUUCAUCUUUAAUUUCGGAUUCUGGGGUUGAAAUUUGGGAAAAUUGGAAGAAGUUCUUCAACUAAGAUUUCGAGUUUUGAAAGGGGAUUCGUGAUCGGAUUUGAGUAAUUUUUAUAUGGUUGGGCUCGUGAGUGAAUGGGUGUUCAUAUUUUGUGACUUUUACCCGAUUUCGAGAUGUGGGCCUGGGGAGGCUUUUUGGGGUGAUUUCCUAAUUUCUCGCUUUAGCUUAGAUUUCAUUGACUAGAUUAGUUUCUUAUAACUAUAUUUAUGGUAUGUAAUUGAUUUUGGCAAGAUUUGGGUCAUUCAGAGUCGGAUAUUCGUGGGAAGAGCAUUGCUAUCGACUGAUUUAGCUUGGUUCGAGGUAAGUGGCUUGCCUAACCUUAUUUGGGGGAAAUCCCCUUAGGAUUUGGUACUGAUUUUACUAUGUGAUUGUCGUGUACGCGAGGUGACGAGUGCGUACACAGGCUAUUUGUUGAAAAACCUGAUUUUUAUUGAGAAAUUCCCUGUUUACACCUUAAUUGAAUAUACUAGCAUGCGUAGUUACCCUGUUAGCUUAGAAUAACAUGUCUAUGUGCCUUAUUUGCUUAAUCGAACUCUUUGCAGCAUGCUUAUUGAAUUCCUGCUUCUUUCCCGACUUGUACUUAGUCUAGACUGUAGAUUCUCUUGUUGUACUUGUCGUUUGUAAUUGAUUGCGCUGUGUAUUUACUUUGUGACUAUGGGACAGUAUCCCGAGAGAUCCCCCUGUAUAUUUACUUUUGGGACUACGGGACGUUAUCCCGGGAGAUCCCCCUGCAUAUUUACUAUUGGGACUACGGGACGGUAAUCUGAGAGAUCCCCUUACACAUUUACUUUGAGACUACGAGGCGGUACAUCGGGAGUUUUCCCUGCAUAUUUACUUUUGGGACUACAAGACGGUAUCUCGGGAGAUCCCUGUCACUUAAUUCCAUGCACUGUUAUGUUAACACACUGUGUUUUCCUUUGUUGAACUUUAGUCUCUUAUUAUACUGCUUAUUCUCCUGUUUUAAUUAUUUUAUACCAGUGGGCUUGACCUAACCUCAUCACUACUCGACCGAGGUUAGGCUCGACACUUACUGGGUACCGCUAUGGUGUAAUCAUGCCCUUUCCUGCACAUGUUUUUUGUGUGCAGAUCCAGGUUCCUUUUACCAGCCUCGUCCUUAGUUGCAGUUGUUGCUGUUUCAGAGAAGUUCAAGAUACAUCUGCCCGCGCCCGCAGAUCCUCGGAGUCCCCCUCUAUCCCCCUAUAUUGAUUCUUCACUUAUUUCUAUAGACACUGAUGUAGAGAACAGUUAGAACUUCGUAGAAGCUUGUGACUCACGGUGUUCCGAGUCUUGGGAGUGUCAUGUAUAUUUUGAGAGUUGAUUAUUGCAUAUGCCGAGCGGUGUCUCAAUUGCUUAUUAAAAUAUUUGUUACUGUUAGUUGUUAUUUUUCAUAUUUUUUAUUUUAUUUCCGCAAGUGUUAGGCUUACCUAGUCGUAAAGACUAGGUGCCGUCACGACGAUUCAUAGAGGGAGAAUUUGGGUCGUGACAGUUAUUCAUAUUCGUUGUUGUUGUGCCGUGGGCUAUAUAUGGGUGUGGUAUUGGUAUUGUGGUUUUGGCAAUAUUUUGGCAAAUGGGACCAUGUGGUGCGGGUUUUUAUGUUGUAUUGUUGUGUUUUGGCACUUGUGGGCCCGUUGAGAGGAUUGUCGGGAUGUUUGCACGGGAUUUCUUCCGUGCUACUUUUAUUAUUGAUAUUGCACAUUUGGCGAGACAAUGCAGGCUAUAUACAUAUGUUGGGUUUGUGCAUAUGGCAAGACAAAGUAGGAUAAUUGUUAAUGCACAUGUGACGAGACAAGGCCGACAUUUACUAUAUUAUUUCGCACACGACGAGACAAGAGAGGUGAUGGUCUGGGGGAAUAUUAUUGGUGAUAUCCAUUUGGUGGUGCGACUUCCUUGUAUGUGUCAUGCAUAUUACAUGAUUUGUUAUGUUAUUUUAAAUGUGCUACUCGGUGUCUCUAUUUUUGACUUGUUGACUUGAGGUAUGAUAGUACACUUGCACAUGCAUACACCAUAACAUGACAUUUAUACUAAUCCAGGAGUAUGAUACUUGAUGACCAUUGGCCAUGUACAUGCAUUCUUGUAUCCGAGGUGCGAGCCCUGGAUUGACAUUUUAGUUUUCAUUAAAGAUCGAAACUUUAUUACCCGAAACUAUUUUCUAUGGCUUUUAUUUAUGAUAUUAAGUUAUUGUGGCUAGAUUCGGACCGUUUGGAGGUUGUUUCACACAGGAAGGACUUCUUAGAGUAUUAAUUUAGCUUCUCUGAGGUAUGUAUCUUGCCAAACUUUGUGUGGGCAAAACUAACCCAUAGGAUUUGAGUUAAUUUCACUAUUUGAAUUAUGUGAAAGGCGUGUACUCGGGGUGAUAAGUGUGUACACGAGCUUAUAUAUAGAAAUUGACCUGUUUCGGCUUGUAGGUCACUCAUAUGAAAUUAAUUGAAGUUGUUGUUGCAUGUUAUAUCUUUCAUUGUUGAGGUUAAUUGUCCGUUUCAAUGUGUUAUUGCAGUUCCUGUUGAUUUAUUUUCUGUACUCUUGUGUUAUUGUUGUCGAUAUUCAUAUUCAUUGUUGUUGAGCCGUGGGCUAUAUAUGGUUGUGGUAUUGGUAUUGUGGUUUUGGCAAUGUUUUGGCAUAAGGGACCGUGUGGUGCGAGUUCUUAUGUUGUAUUGUUGUGUUUUGGCGCAUGUGGGCCCGUUGAGAGGAUUGUCGGGAUGUUUGCACGGGAUUACUUCCGUUCUACUUUUAUUAUUGAUAUUGCACAUAUGGCGAGAUAAGGCAGGCUAUAUACAUAUGUUGGGUUUGUGCAUGUGGCAAGACAAGGUGGGAUACUUGUUAAUGCGCGUGUGGCGAGACAAGGCCGACAUUUACUAUAUUAUUUCGCAUACGACGAGACAAGAGGGUGAUGGUCUCGGGACAUAUUAUUGGUGAUAUCCAUCUGGUGGGGAAACUUCCUUGUGUGUGUCAUGCAUAUUACAUGAUUUGUUAUGUUAUUUUCAAUGUGCUAAUAAGUGUCUCUAUUUUUGACUUGUUGACUUGAGCUAUGAUAUUAUACUUCCACACGCAUACACGCGUAACAUGCUAUUUAUAUCAGUCCAGGAGUAUGAUACUUGAUGACCAUUGGCUAUAUAUAUAUAUGCAUUCUUGUAUCCGAGGUGCGGGCCCUGGAUUGACAUUUUAGUUUUCAUUAAAGAUCGAAACUUUAUUAUCCGAAAUUAUUUUCUAUAGAUUUCAUUUAUGAUAUUAGGUUAUUUUGGCUAUAUUCAGACUGUUCGGAGGUUUUUCAUACGGGAAGGGCUUCUUAGGGUAUUGAUUUAGCUUCUUUGAGGUAAGUAUCUUGCCUAACUUUGUGUGGGAAAAACUACCCCGUAGAAUUUGAGUUAAUUUCACUAUUGGAUUUAUGUGAAAGGCGUGUACUUAAGGUGACAAGUAUGUAUACUGGCUUAUAUAUAAAAAAUGACAUGUUUAGGCUUGUAGGUCACUCAUAUGAAAUUGAUUGAAGUUGUUGUUGCAUGUUAUAUCUUUUAUUGUUGGGGUUAAUUGUCCGUUUCAGUGUGGUAUUGCAGUUCUUGUUGAUUUAUUAUAUGUACUCUUGUGUUAUUGUUGUCAUUAUUCAUAUUUGUUGUUGUUGAGACAUGGGCUAUAUAUGGUUAUGGUAUUAGUAUUGUGGUUUUGGCAAUGUUUUGGUAUAUGGGACCGUGUGGUGCGAGUUUUUAUGUAUCCAAAAUUGUUUGACCAGAUCCGGUAUGGGUCUCACACCUACACCCAUACUAGUGUCGUGUCGACACGGGUGCGGCACCUAAACUGCCAUGUCAGAGCAACUUAGAUUGGGAUAGAUAGUGUUUUGGAAAAAAAGAGAAGACCGCCAUUAAACUUGAUCAUGGGAGCUCAUACCUCUUCAUGAACAAUUCUUGUAAGGGAUUUUUAUCUGUAGUGCAGGUUAUAACUCCAAAAUCAGGUGUUUUAGGGCCACCUACAUCGAAUAUCAACAUCAGUUGAAAUAUUUCAUCAAACACAAUAAGAGCUAAAAUCCAAUAAAUGCAAAUUCAAUUGAGCGGUUAAUUCUGAGUUAGACUACUUGAACAUCAAUCGCCUAAUACUUGGACGGUAUUUUUGUGACUCGGUUAAGUCUUUAAAUCUAGAAAUAUUUGCCUUAUGCUAGAACACCAGUAAGUCGAAAGAAAACAAAAAAGAAUUACAGAAGAUUGGGGGGCUUCUCUUUAUAGAGGCUCUAUGUAUUCUCAUUGAGUUCUCCUAACUACCAAGGAUUGACAUGAAAUAGUUAAAUGAGCAAAGGCAUGUGAAUAAACAAAAAAUAGAUAACAUAAAAAGUAAAAGAUAAAAUGGAAAUAAAGCAGAAGAUUGAAAAGAACAAAUUGAACGAAAAGGAAGAGAAAGAAGAACUCACAUGAUAGAGAGAAAAUGAACAACAGAGAUGAGCGGAAAGAGAAGCUAGAGAGAGAGAAUGA
rnacentral:lncRNA from 1 species